GGUGAAGCAGUAUAGGGAGCUUUUCCGGCUCGAGGGCGUCGACCUCAGCUUUAAUGACGGUGCGCUCCUAGAGGUUGCCAAACGCGCCAAGGCGCGGGGCACGGGCGCGCGCGGGCUGCGCUCGGUGCUCGAGAAGACGCUUCUAGAGCUGAUGUUCGAGGUGCCGGGAAACGACAUCUCGGCGGUUCACAUCAACCUGGAGAACCUGGACGACCCGCAGAUGAUCCUGACUC
rnacentral:misc_RNA from 1 species